rnacentral:rRNA from 1 species
UACAGAGGGUGCAAGCGUUGUUCGGAAUUAUUGGGCGUAAAGCGCGUGUAGGCGGCGUGACAAGUCGGGUGUGAAAGCCCUCAGCUCAACUGAGGAAGUGCGCCCGAAACUGUCGUGCUUGAGUGUCGGAGAGGGUAGCGGAAUUCCCCAAGUAGAGGUGAAAUUCGUAGAUAUGGGGAGGAACACCGGUGGCGAAGGCGGCUACCUGGACGACUACUGACGCUGAGACGCGAAAGCAUGGGUAGCAAACAGG